rnacentral:rRNA from 1 species
GUUCGAUUCUGGCUCAGAUUGAACGCUGGCGGGAUGCUUUACACAUGCAAGUCGAACGGCAGCACGGACUUCGGUCUGGUGGCGAGUGGCGAACGGGUGAGUAAUGUAUCGGAACGUGCCUAGUAGCGGGGGAUAACUGCGCGAAAGCGUAGCUAAUGCCGCAUACGCCCUUCGGGAAAGCAGGGGACCUUCGGGCCUCGCACUAUUAGAGCGGCCGAUAUCGGAUUAGCUAGUUAGUGGGGUAACGGCUCACCAAGGCGACGAUCCGUAGCUGGUUUGAGAGGACGACCAGCCACACUGGGACUGAGACACGGCCCAGACUCCUACGGAGGCAGCAGUGGGAAUUUUGGACAAUGGGGAAACCCUGAUCCAGCCAUCCCGCCCGUGUGCGAUGAAGGCCUUCGGGUUGUAAAGCACUUUUGGCAGGAAAGAAACGGCACGGGAUAAUACCCCGUGCAGCUUGAGCGUCUUGCAGACUAAGCCUUCCUGACAACUGCGGUAUGGCCACGGUAAUACGUCAGGCUAUGACGUUAAUCCGAAUUAUGAAGCGCUAAGCAGCUGCAGUGGACAGAAGAAAGAUGGCGAUCCCAGACUUAACUUUGGAACUGCUGUUUUGUUCUUGAGCAUAAGUGUAAUCAGAGGAGGCGGAAUUCGCGUUCGUUAACUGAGUGAAAUGCAGUAGAUGUCGAAGGAACUUUCGUUGGAAGGCACAGUAUCGAUAUUUUGUGCUUUGAAAACGGAGCAAAACAGGAUUAGAUACCCUGGUAGUCCACGCCCUAAACGAUGUCAACUAGCUGUUGGGGCCUUCGGGCCUUGGUAGCGCAGCUAACGCGUGAAGUUGACCGCCUGGGAAAUACGGUCGCAAGAUUAAAACUCAAAGGAAUUGACGGGGACCCGCACAAGCGGUGGAUGAUGUGGAUUAAUUCGAUGCAACGCGAAAACCUUACCUACCCUUGACAUGUCUGGAAUCCCGAAGAGAUUUGGGAGUGCUCGCAAGAGAACCGGAACACAGGUGCUGCAUGGCUGUCGUCAGCUCGUGUCGUGAGAUGUUGGGUUAAGUCCCGCAACGAGCGCAACCCUUGUCAUUAGUUACUACGAAAGGGCACUCUAAUGAGACUGCCGGUGACAAACCGGAGGAAGGUGGGGAUGACGUCAAGUCCUCAUAGCUUUGGCCCUUAUGGGUAGGGCUUCACACGUCAUACAAUGGUCGGGACAGAGGGUCGCCAACCCGCGAGGGCCAAUCCCAGAAACCCGAUCGUAGUCCGGAUCGCAGUCUGCAACUCGACUGCGUGAAGUCGGAAUCGCUAGUAAUCGCGGAUCAGCAUGUCGCGGUGAAUACGUUCCCGGGUCUUGUACACACCGCCCGUCACACCAUGGGAGUGGGUUUUACCAGAAGUAGUUAGCCUAACCGUAAGGAGGGCGAUUACCACGGUGAUUCAUGACUGGGAAUUGAAGUCGUAACAAGGUAA